GGCAGUGUAGCUCAGUGGUAGAGCACAUGCUUAGCAUGCAUGGGACUCUGGGUUCAAUCACCAGCACCA
rnacentral:tRNA from 1 species